rnacentral:rRNA from 1 species
AUUGAACGCUGGCGGCAGGCCUAACACAUGCAAGUCGAAUGGUAACAGGAAACAGCUUGCUGUUUCGCUGACGAGUGGCGGACGGGUGAGUAAUGUCUGGGAAACUGCCUGAUGGAGGGGGAUAACUACUGGAAACGGUAGCUAAUACCGCAUAACGUCGCAAGACCAAAGAGGGGGACCUUCGGGCCUCUUGCCAUCAGAUGUGCCCAGAUGGGGUUAGCUAGUAGGUGGGGUAACGGCUCACCUAGGCGACGAUCCCUAGCUGGUCUGAGAGGAUGACCAGGCACACUGGAACUGAGGCACGGGUCAGACUCCUACGGGAGGCAGCAGUGGGGAAUAUUUGACCAUGGGGGGAAGCCUGAUGCAGCCAUGGCGCGUGGAUGAAGAAGGGCUUUGGGUUGGAAAGGUCUUUUAGCGGGGAGGAAGGGAGUAAAGUUAAUACCUUUGCUCAUUGACGUUACCCGCAGAAGAAGCACCGGCUAACUCCGUG